rnacentral:rRNA from 1 species
UGACUCUCGGCAACGGAUAUCUCGGCUCUCGCAUCGAUGAAGAACGUAGCAAAAUGCGAUACUUGGUGUGAAUUGCAGAAUCCCGUGAACCAUCGAGUCUUUGAACGCAAGUUGCGCCCGAAGCCAUCAGGCCAAGGGCACGCCUGCUUGGGCGUCGUGCAUCA